GCCAGUGUGGCGAAAUUGGUAGACGCAGUGGAUUCAAAAUCCACCGGGCUAACCCCCGUGCCGGUUCGAGUCCGGCCACUGGUACCA
rnacentral:tRNA from 1 species